AUUAAUUAUUACUCCCUUGAGAGAGCUUGACCAAUCAGGGAGCCGUCUCCAUGCCUCUGUUAUCACCAGGCAGACUUACUCCUUCACAUGACCAGUUCUGGCUGUCUGCCAAGCCUUAAUUGCCUCUGUGUGAGUAGCUGCAUGUACACAGUUUCCCAACAAACUCAUACCAAGAACAAACUUAGUUGGUCUCUAAGAUGCUAUUAGACAAAUUUUUUGUUUUUAUUUUAUAUUUCAAGUUACACUACGUAGGGUUGAGGGAACCUGUGCCCUCCCCUAGAUGUUGUUGAACUUAAACUCCCAUCGGCCAAGGAUGAUGGGAGUUGUAGUUCAGCAACUUAUGUAGGACUACAGGUUAGCCACCCCUACUGUGUACACACUGAAAUCAGUUCAGUUCCCCCAAGAUCUACCAGGAUGAGUUGCUGUGUUCACUAGGCCUGGACUCCUGAGCAGACCUUACUUCCUGGAAUAAAAAGUUGUGUGGUUUAUUGCGGACUUGCUCUUGACACCCACUCCUGACAAUAGAUAAUGAAACAUGCAUUGGGUGGAGGGCAUUUGGAGGGUGUUUAUAGCGGAUGCUCCUCACUUUACACUGUUUUACUUAUAUACACAAGGACCUGGAAAAUAACCCCCACAUAAGUGGAGGGAUUUCUGUAUCCUUUUCUGAGGUGAGGCAACCAGAACUUUAAGCAGUAUUCCAAGUGUGGCCACACCAUAUAUUUGUAUAUUGGUGUUAUGAUAUCAGCAGUUUUGUUUUCAAUUCCUAAUGAUUCUAGCAUUGAAUUCUCCUUUUUAUUCACAGCUGCCGCCACUGUUCAUCCUCAGGGCUUUCCUACUUGAAUACAUGCUCCUCUUUUCCUGUACCCAUAAGUUCUUGCUCCAGAACACCCAUUUUUUAUUUCAUUUUUAUUGUGGUGAGCCUCUUUGAGCUCAGCUCGGUUUUGGGGGAAGCAGUGUGCAUCUAUCAAGCCAAACCAAAUGAAAUUAAGUAAAGCUGGAAUUUCACCAUCCCCUUGAGCAUCCUUUUGUAUUAUGGGAUGGAUUUGCUGUGCCAUUUCCAGCCAUGUGAUGUUAAGGAGUAAAUAAUUGUGUCCAAUUCUAUCCUUGGCUUUGGCCUAGAAUAUUUUCACCAAAUUUGUUGGCAGAGGGAGGGGGAAAGCCCGGAAGUGAUCCUGUCCCUUUAACAGAUAGAGUAAACAGAAAUACACCAAAUGAGCGAGGAUGUGGUUAUCAAAAAGCGUCAUUUGCUUAAUAAAGUCUGCGAAAAAGCAGCGGUGUCUGGC